GGGUUGGUAGCUCAAUGGUAGAGUGCAUGCUUUGUAUGUAUGUGGUUCUGCGUUCAAUCUCUAGCUUCUACCCA